CGGUUGAUCCUGCCGGACCCUACUGCUAUCGGGAUGGGACUAAGCCAUGCAAGUCGUGCGUCUCCAAGCCAUGGUGGAGACGCGGCGCACAGCUCAGUAACACGUGGCUAACCUACCCUUGGGACGGGGAUAACCCCGGGAAACUGGGGCUAAUCCCCGAUAGGAGAGAAGACCUGGAAUGGCUUCUCUCCGAAAGGGUGUUAAGGCCAUGCUCCUUAACACCGCCCAAGGAUGGGGCCGCGGCCGAUCAGGUAGUUGGUGAGGUAACGGCUCACCAAGCCUAUAACCGGUACGGGCUGUGAGAGCAGGAGCCCGGAGAUGGGCACUGAGACAAGGGCCCAGGCCCUACGGGGCGCAGCAGGCGCGAAAACUCCGCAAUACGCGAAAGCGUGACGGGGCCAUCCCGAGUGCCAUCCGCUGAGGAUGGCUUUUCUCCGGUGUAAGGAGCCGGAGGAAUAAGGAGAGGGCAAGCCUGGUGUCAGCCGCCGCGGUAAUACCAGCUCUCCGAGUGGUAGGGACGGUUAUUGGGCCUAAAGCGUCCGUAGCCGGCUUGGUAAGUCUCCCGUUAAAUCCAGCGAUCUAAUCGCUGGGCUGCGGGAGAUACUGCCAGGCUAGGGGGCGGGAGAGGCCGACGGUAUUCCCGGGGUAGGGGUGAAAU
rnacentral:rRNA from 1 species